UACGUAGGUGGCAAGCGUUGUCCGGAUUUAUUGGGUUUAAAGGGUGCGUAGGCGGUCUAUUAAGUCAGUGCUGAAAUAUCCCGGCUUAACCGGGAGGGUGGCAUUGAUACUGAUGGACUUGAGUAAAGUUGAGGUUGGCGGAAUUGACGGUGUAGCGGUGAAAUGCUUAGAUAUCGUCAAGAACACCUAUUGCGAAGGCAGCUAACUAAGCUUAAACUGACGCUGAGGCACGAAAGUGUGGGGAUCAAACCGG
rnacentral:rRNA from 1 species